rnacentral:lncRNA from 1 species
UGGUUCUGCUGCUCUUAACUAUGGUCACAUCCACCAAAAAGUCUAGAAGAGUUGUGCAUGAAUGUGUGAAUAUAUAUAUAUAUAUAUAUAUAUAUGUGUGUGUGUGUGUGUGUGUGUGUAUAUGUAAAUUAUAUUAUAUUUCUAUGUGUGUGUUUAUAUACAUGUAUACAUGAUUUAGGUUAAGCUUGAAUGGUUUGGCAAAAUGUAUUGCAGUAUGUGAACAUUCUUAACCUUCUAGUAUUCUACAAAUUCUACUUUGUAUUUACAUAUCUCUAUAUAUAUGCUUCAAUUCUCAGACCAUCCAAUCCAUGUAAUCCUUGAGAAGUUGGCUUUGGCUUUGAAUGAAGCAUUCAGUGUUGCUAAACGAAAGCAGAGGGCACUUGCUGCUGAGGAGGAGCUGGGAUUUCACAAAUCUUAUGCUUCUUCUCAAUGCUAAGACACCUGUUGUCAACACAAACCCAUGAGGGUCUUGGAGCUGCCACUUCAGCCCCAGCAUGGCCUACACUAGCAGAGACCAUAUCUAGGGCUAUCAGAGCUCCUUGGUCAGGGAAUAAAAUAAUUGGAUUGUUUAGGGUUUAAGGCACUCUUCCCAGGUAGAUGCUGCCAAAUGUUGCUGAGCUUUCAGAGAGCCAAUCUGAAUGCCCCAAUCCAAAGGAUUUCCUAAGCCAAGUCUCCAGCUUAAAACAUGGGCAGAAAGGGGGGAGGGGGGGGGGGAUAUACUUUAAAAAAUGGGCCUCCAUAGGCUUUGUGAAAGUGUCCUCUCAGCAUGUACAAUAACACUGUUAUAGCUGAGUUAGAAACAAAGCUUGGGACACAGCAAGGGUGGGAUUAUGUGCUGUGUGUUUCCUUAUCUGGUUGAGAAUUGGGCAUGGGGGGGGGGGGCAGGGCAAUGUGGACCUUUUCUUUUCUUUUUUUCCAUUUUCCUGUCACAUGAAUUCUUCAGUACCCACUCAAAACCAAGCAAAAUGGGAAGCUGCUGUGACAGCUCCAGCACAAAAUACUGUGAAGUACUUUGUCAAGCUUUUGAAGGUUUCAAAGGUAUGGCACAAGUGAGGGAAGGGGUGAUGUAGCAGGUUGAUUUGAUGAUGUGGCACCCACAGACGCAGUUGUGUGACCAUUCAAAAUCUGGGGGCUGCAGAAGAAGGCAAGCUUCAAAUCAGAAUAAGCCUCAGAAACUAGUAGUAUUAGUAUUAGUAUUAGUACAAUAUGGUGGUGUGCCCUCAGCUUCAAUGCAGCUGUGUACUCAGUGAUUCCAGGAAUCUCAAUGGAAGGAGAAGAAAAUGGCAAAGAUCUCCUUCUUAGCACUGUUUAGAGCUUGCACUGUUUAGAUUGACAUGAAUCAAAAACAAGAAAAAUAAAUAAAUGUCAUUUUUUAAGUGAGGAAAUGAGGUACAAGCAACAAUUUGAAGCCACAGGCUAAUGGAAAUAUGGGUCCCUUCAUUAUUAUUUUUCUUCUCUUUUAAGAAAACCCAUCAUGCUUUGGUAUUUCAUACAUAUCCUUUGCUCACUCUGUGGACACAAAAGAC